rnacentral:lncRNA from 1 species
AAACAGGCACGCCAAAAACAGGGCCUGGUGCGCGAGCGAGAUGGCCGCGCCCGCGAGUCCGAGCUCUCAAGUGAUAAAAAUGCCGCCCGUGAAUCUGAAAGAUGGGGGGGGGGAGGCUUUCUUUUGGGGGCCCAUCCAUUUCGGCCAGUUCUCAGCUGGUUGGUCGUGCUCUACUCCACCCAAGACAAUCUGUGGUUAUCAAGCCCUGCUAAAAACUCACAAUGGGUGUUUUUCCUCUCUGUAAACAUCAGAAUCGUAAAUCUUCGCUGAUAUCUUAAAAGUUGUUUUUCUAAAAACAUAUUGUAGGACUGCUUAAAGAUGGAAAAUAAGCAAUUUAUCUUUUGAACACUCACUUUCAUGCGUAUGCCUGGAAAACCUCAACAAAAGCCUAUUUUAAAACAGCAUAUCCCAACUUAUUUUCACUAAAGUUAAGAAUAAUUAUUUCUUGGAGAUUCUUUUCUUUCGCCCAUAUGCCCCCGCCCCUGGCUACUUGAAUGGCAGAUUUGCAAGUACAAUUUCAUCUGCACAGACGAACAAUAGCUUUCAGUAGCACAAAGGACUUCACCACCCCGGAUUCAGACGCAAUGCCUCUUGCUCUGAUAAUAGCUUCUGAAAAGAUUUUGUAAUGCAGAGAAUUAAUACAUGAUUAUUUCCGCCUGGCUUCUCUCAUUUAUUAGAAUUCUGUGGCAAAUUCCAAAUUAAAAAUAGUUCAGUUAAGAGCUUUAAAAAAUACUUUUAAGAUAUUUUAAGACACCUGUCCCCCAGAUCUUUAAGUUUGCUCACUUGUCCUGGCCUGAAAAUAGCUAAAAAUUAGGACCAGCUCUCAAGCAAUAGCUACUAAUUUUAGUAAAUACGUUUGUGAAUUUAGAAUGAAAAUUCCAAAUAAUGAACAUCUAGAUAACUGUAGGCAAACUUGUUAGAGUGAAUCAUUAAUAGUCUCUAAAACUAAUUUCUGGAUUUUGUAGGGGGAAAGUCCUUUGUGAUUAAAGAAACACCCAUCCUCACCUCUGAAUGCCCAGAGGAAAGGGAGGGGGCAUUUCCCUCUUUUCAUAUCAUUUCUAAUAAAGGAUUUUGCUGCUCUUUAAAAAAAAAAAAAGUGCAAACACAGGCUGGGGGUGGAAUCAAAUUCCUUGGAA